AUGGUACAUAUGGUUCUGUAUGGUACAUAUGGUUCUGUAUGGUACAUAUGGUUCUGGUGUAUGGUUAUGUAUGGUACAUAUGGUUAUAUAUGGGUCAUAUGGCAACAUAUGGUACAUAUCGGUAUAAACGGUACAUAUGGUAAUAUAUGGUACAUAUGCAUGGUAAAUAUGGUAAUAUCUGGUUAUACAUGUCACAUAUGGUACAUAUGGAAACAUAUGGUAGAUACAUGGUACAUAUGGUCCCGGUGUAUGGUUCAAUAUGGUACAUGUGGUUCUGGUGUAUGGUUCUUUAUGGCACAUAUGGUUAUAUAUGGUACAUAUGGUUCUGGCGUAUGCUUCUAUAUGGUUCUGGUGUAUGGUAAUUUAUGGUACAUAAGGUUCCGGUGUAUGGUUAUUUAUGGUACAUAUGACAAUUUAUGGUACAUAUGUGUAUGGUUCAUGGUUCUUUAUGGUACAUAUGUCUCUUUAUGGUACAUAUUAUUAUGUAUGGUACAUAUGGUUCUGGUGUAUGGUUAUUUACGGUACAUAUGGUUCUUUAUGGUACAUAUUGUUAUGGUACGUGUUGUUCUGGUGUAUUUGAUCUGGUUUAUGGUACAUAUAGUUAUGGUGUAUGUUUAUGUAUGGUACAUAUGGUUCUUUAUGGUACAUACAUCUCGUUAUGGUACAUAUAGGUAUGGUAUAUAUGGUUCUUUACUGUACAUAUGGUUCUUAAUGGUACAUACAACUCGUUAUGGUACAUAUAGGUAUGGUAUAUAUGGUUAUUUACGGUACAUAUGGUUCUUUAUGGUACAUGUGGUUAUGGUACGUGUUGUUCUGGUGUAUUUGGUACAUUUAUGGUACAUAUGGUUAUGGUAUAUGGUACAUAUUAUUAUGUAUGGUACAUAUGGUUCUGGUGUAUGGUUAUUUACGGUACAUAUGGUUCUUUAUGGUACAUAUUGUUAUGGUACGUGUUGUUCUGGUGUAUUUGGUACAUUUAUGGUACAUAUGGUUAUGGUACGUGUUGUUCUGGUGUAUUUGGUACAUUUAUGGUACAUAUGGUUAUGGUAUAUGGUACAUAUUAUUAUGUAUGGUACAUAUGGUUCUGGUGUAUGGUUAUUUACGGUACAUAUGGUUCUUUAUGGUACAUAUUGUUAUGGUACGUGUUGUUCUGGUGUAUGGUUCUUUACGGUACAUAUGGUUCUUUAUGGUACAUGUGGUUAUGGUACGUGUUGUUCUGGUGUAUUUGGUACAUUUAUGGUACAUAUGGUUAUGGUAUAUGGUACAGUUGUAGUCGGAAGUUUACAUACACUUUAG
rnacentral:lncRNA from 13 species